AAAAAAACCAACUAAGAGAAACCAACUAAGAGAAACAAAACACGGAAGAAAGACCAGAAAAUUGCCAGUACCAAUUCAUUUUCACCCCACAAAGGAUGAACAUUUCCUUCACUAAUUGCAGCUGUGUUCAAUGUCAUCAGUAUCACUCUGCUGUAAAAAUGUCAGUGUUUCCAAGCAAUUGUGGAAUACAGGAUGUCUUGUCUAAUUUCUCUCAUGCUAAGUUAUCCUCUGACUACAUGAGUUUAUACAGCCUUUCAUAUGAUGUUCAGCCAAUGCUGCUUUGCCAUUGAUUCAGACAGCACUUUGCCUGAUUGAUAACUUCUUUCUCUUUUGUUUGGUUGUGCUCUAUUAAAUAAUAUUGAAAGGUUAGCAUUUAUCUUUAACCUCUAAUAAUUUUCAGUUGAAUGAGAGCUAACUUCUUUUAGCCAAGUUUGGCUAGAAAAAUUAGAAUUAUCCUACUAUCAACCAUAAUUUCACUUCUUUCUUCAGAAAAAUGCAGAAAAAAGGUUUUAAAACUGAUUUGCCCAUUAAGAUAAAAAAAGGAAUACCAUUAAUUACUACUGAGGUGACAGUGCUGGGUGCUUGUGUCAUCUCUCUGAAGUCAGUGCGACUAAACAGGACUAUAAAUACUCCCCACAAAACUAGGAUCUCAAGAAGCGCACUUGCGAAUCCAGCUGAAUUGCACUGCAGCCGAGGCUAAUCACUCUGCGGUAUCAGGCUUUUAACCUUUAGUGUGCACAGGUCCUUUUUAGCAAUGACAAUAAUUAUGACAGUUCUGAAGAAAACAGCCACACAACAACCAAAACAGAUAUAAAAGUACUCAUUCUGAGGCUCAAUGAAUCAACAAAUAAAGAAAAGGUCACUUUUCAGUUCUCAAUUACAAAUGAUAAUUUUCUCCCUCUUAAAAUAUGUUUAAAUACUUGCAUAAAGAAAAUUAUGACUGAAUCUGCCUAGCUCUGUUUAAACUGUCUUGGCUGCUGUUUUCAUUUGAAGUGACACCUCUGGUUUUGAACUUGUACUGUUUAAAAACUGUGAGAGCCAAGAAAUUGAAUUAAGCUGCGCCUCUGGGAUUUCAGAUAAGUCCAGAAUGUUUUUUCAAAUAACACAUUAGUUCCACAGCUCUAUUUUAAAAUUAAAUGAUGGAUAACUUGUUUUAAUGCUCUAACAUAUGGCCCUCAAUCUUCCAAGAUGUCUGUGCAUACUUCAUGUUGUGCAAGAGUCACCCUACUGAACUUAAUAGGACUAUUCAGACAGUUGACAUUAAGCACGUAUGCAAAUCUUUGCAAGACUGGAACCUAACGUGAUUAUAAUAAGCCCAUUUCAGUGCAAAUCUAAGUAUAAAGAGCUUCAAAACUGAGGUCAAAAUAAAAGAACUUGCACAAGUCUGUCAUACUAAGAGUACCAAAAUGCCGGGGGAAAAAAAUGCACACUAAAACCUUCUGAUAAAUUUCAAACUAUGUUCUCACAUAAAGAGGGAAAAAUUAGGCAGUCAAACUGCUCGUUGCAGUAACUGAAAUUUUACUUACUGUGAAACUGUCUCCUCAACAGUCAACUCAUUUACUGCAAUGUCUAUUUUAUAGAUUUUUGUUGUUGUGCUUUAUGGAUAGGAUUGUGCUUUUGCACAGAUGUACUUUGGGGGUAAGCUGGGAUUUUAUGUCAAAUGAUAUGCUUUAUUUAUUUCUGAUCUCAUGCAGAAAAUAAAAUAUAUUUAAUAUCCUUGAGUUCUGAUGUGUUAACAGUAGUUUCUUUAAGAAGUAAACACAGAAACGAGUACCGAGAGGUUCUGAAAUAUAAGAUCUGUCAUAACAUUACUGUUCUGCAUUACGUGAAAUGUUUUCCCAUGUUCUUAAGGCUUCACAUUCUGGUCCAAUUUGAGUACUUUGCAAAACAAAGUUGUCACAGACUGCUUGGCUGCUCUCAUAUUCCACACUUAACAUAUGUUGAAAGGCAAAAGGUCCUAUAGUUGUAACAGAGGGAAAAUGUCUUUGAAAACAAUUCUAUAUUCUGUUUAUAAUUCUAUACAUUCAGAUGCCAAUAUUAUGCAAUACUCUGUAUGACUGUGAGUGGGAAGUGCACAUGCACAGGUACAUGCUAUGUAAGUGUACAAGACUCUGGAGCUCCUAUCUCACCACUUAUCUCAGUUGCAAGCAGAACUCCUUCCUCAUUCAUUCCUCUUUGUCCCUCUCUCUGACCUUCCUCCCUGUCAAACCUCUGCAUGCCCGGAGGCCAUCUGGACCCGAAGUAUCACACUAGAAAAUAAUAUGGACUCUCAUUAAUCCCAUCAUUUGUCUGACAGUGUUGUCUGGGUGCAGAGCAGCAGGGACGAGGCUUACAUGCUCUCUGGGAGAGCCGCGCUAACUGGUGCCGGGUGAUACUGUCAUGUAGAUUUGAUGUUCUCAUGCUUCCUGCAAAAAAGAAAUACUGUGUGUAGGAUGAAGCGGUCUCAUAAACUUAGGGCAGGAAUCUGACCAAUCCCAGGGGAAAUGCAAGGGCUUAAGACAGGUCCCUCACAGCUGCACCUGAGCCCGCAGGCAAAUCCCAAACCCAGGGACUAUCACAGAAUCCUUUACUGGAGCGCCUCUGAGAUCCCCACUCCAACCCCACCCCACUGUUCCUCGGCGCCACAUUUCCGCAGUUCCGAAC
ensembl:lncRNA